UGUAACACACACUUUGGCUUCAUGACAUGCUGUGCCAUUCGCUUUGCUUACUGUGGAUGAUGAGCUGAGUUCAUCCAGGAGCAACUCUGCUGAAGCUCUCCUUCAACUUUUGCAAGCAUCUUCAUAUUCUCACCUAUACUUGCCCUUGACUGGAAGAUCAGAUCUAACGUGUGUUCUUGUGGAUUCAGCACAAAGGCCAAACAACAGGAGUGAAAUGCAAUCAGCUUCAUUGACCGGCUCAUUCGUCCCCAGCCAGACAUGAAUGAUACCGGGCCGCAAAUGCGGCAGAACCACAUUUCAUUAUCCUGAGUCUCUCCCUGCAGUGAAGGUUGUGAAGAAAAGGGGAGAAACACAUUUAAGAUUAUUACUUCUAAAGACUAUCUACAGUAUGUCAUCAUCUAAUCUUGAUUUUCUAUGGCAAGCAGCUUGUUGAGAAUAGCUUUGCUAUUUCUGCAAUGUCUGCUUUUAUAAGUGAUGAAACUUUCACCUGAAAAUUCACUGCUGUGUUUCAAAGGAAAGACCUGAGACAUAUUCAGACCAGAAUAUCAGACUUUUGAGGACCAUUUUCCGGCCAGUAAGAAACCAACUAGCAGAACCAGAACAAUCAGAACACCAUACACUCUAAAAAAUGCUGGGUUAAAAACAACACAAGUUGGGUUGAAAAUGGACAAACCCAGCGAAUGGGUUGUUUUAACCCAGCAAUUGGGUUAAAUAUUUGCCCAACCUGCUGGGUAGUUUUAUUUAACUCAACUAUUGUGUAAAAAUUACUGUACUGUUUGCUUAAAAUGAACCCAAAGUAUGUUGGAAAUUAACAUUUAUUAAUAUGUUUAUUAAGUUUAAUGAAUAAUACUUAAACAAUAAACAUUUAUUAAAUUGCUUAUUAAUAAAUGUUCACCUUUUGAUUAUUAUUGUAGCCUCUAGUAAUUAUGUGUCUGAUUUUUAAUUUCCAACAUACUUUGGGUUAAUUUUAAGACAACCAAAUAGUAAUUUUUUAACAAUAGUUAAUUGGGUUAAAUAAAACUGCCCAGCAUGUUGGGCAAACAUUUAACCCAACCACUGGGUUUGUCUCAUUUUCAACCCAACUUGGAUUGUUUUUAACCCAGCAUUUUUUAAAGUGUAGCAUAGCAACACAUAAAAAACAACAUAGCAACACCCUGACAACCACACACAACACAUUUUCAGAUGUGGAGCUCAAAAUUAAUUUUUUUAUGUCAUCUAUUCAUCAUCUGUUUCUAUUUGUCCACACUGCUCUUUAAAGCAGCUGCUGCAUUCAUCCAUCAUGUCUGUUAUUGAUUAAAAGUCAGUUGACCUCGGCUAAGUACCUUCUUAAGUUAUAAUUAGACAUUAUGGCUUUAUACUGAAAGCUUGAUUCUCCCACUGGCUGCUGAAGGCAAGAAUAGUGAUGUCACCACGGCUAUUUCCCACAAAGCACCAUUCCUGUACAUGACAUCAUUCAGCUCAUUGCCAUGGAAAGCAGCUACAGCAGACAUGGUCUUAUUAUUAGGAGAUACAAGGGUUCAUUGGCUUUACCAUUGAAAAAAGUGUAACAGCCAACUUGGAUCACAUGUGCCUUGAUAACCAAUCACAUUACAGCCUUGACGUCAUUGAAUUUCGUUGUGCGACAAUCAAUCACUGUUUGCGGAUACCAUGAAUGAGAAGUGCCGUAAACUGAAUGAUACUGCAUCGCACAAUUGUCCAUGACUUCUCUGAUAAAACAGCAUUUUUUCGGUGUAAACUCUAAAAAAUAGAUUAACCCAAAACAAAUGUUGAAUAUUAGUCAAUGAGCUGUCGAUUCAUUAAAUGAUAAGUUGUUUCCUCACAAAAGUGGUUUAUUCAGUGUAGUGAAGCCUCUCCUCCAUUGACAAAGGCCUUUGGUCUCCUUCCCUGUGUACUGCAGCAUUAGCAGUUACGCUUUUUUUUUUUUUUGCUAACCUUGCAGGCUUGCCUUCAAGUGGCUGUGGCUACAGUCCCUUGUUCUACUACUGGUUGCAUGAUAUAACAUAGCCUAUUUGCCCAGGGUUCGAAAUGUUCAAAUCAAAAUCUUCCAUGUAAUCAACCCAUUAGUUGGUAGAGAAAACAUCAGGUACAGUUUCUUUAUCUCAAGUGUCAGUAACACAAUUAGUGAAGCAUUGCUUUCUCUCCUUAAAGUGAUAGAAUGAUAUUACUCUCAUGUUGUUCCAGCACAAAACAAAAGAUCCCAAAAGAAGAUAUUUUGAGAGAAUAUUGGGUCAAAACAACAUUGGACCUCACUGACUUCAAUUGUAUGGCCAGAAAAAACACUGAGGUGCUUAUAUUUUCUUUUGUGUUUCACAGAAGAUAGAAGGUCAUACAGGCAUGAAACGAUAAUAGCCUAUAAUAAUGAGCGAAUGUGUUCAUUUGAACCUGGUACUUGACACACAUGAUACUUUAUGGUAUUUCCAAUGUGAAUCAUCCGAAAGCACUGUGGUUUCUCUUGACUUCACUGUUUUCUUCACCAAACUCGAUUCCUCUUGACUUCACUAAAUCCAGAUGAGUCACCGGAUCCUGAGGAUUAUUCAGCACAGCCGUCAGAUUCAGUGAACCCCAGUGAUUCACUCACAUCCUGUGGGUUUCACUCAUGCAGACGCACCUGCAGCGGGUCCAGACCAGUCCCUUCAACUCGCAUCAGAGCAGGAGACUGAUGCUUUGCAUUUGAGGAGUGAUAUAAACAUAAAUGACUGAAACUGCAUGGGACCUGCCCUGCUACAUCAUUGAAAGAUUAAAAUAAACAUUCUGUGUGUCACAUUGCAUAUUUGUUGAUUAAAUCAUUUCCAUAUGGGG